UUUUUUUAUUUUUCUCCCUAAUGUUUUAUGGUUUUCAGUAUAGAGGUGUUACUCAUAUUUUAAUACUGAUUGUAUUUAAUGUCUUACGUGAAUAUAAAUAUUAUUUAAAGUUUUUAUUUUGGAGUUCCUGUUGUGACUCAGCAGGUUAAGAAUCCGACAUAAUAUCCAUGAGGAUGCAGGUUUGAUCCCCGGCCUCUCUCAGUGGGCUAAGGAUCUGGUGUUGCCACAAGCUGUGGUACAGGUCCCAGAUGCAACUUGGAUCUGGCACUGCCAUGCCUGUGGUGUAGGCCUGCAGCUGCAGCUCUGAUUCAACCCUUAGGCUGGGAACUUCCCUUCCAUAUGCUGCAGGUAUGGCCAUAAAAAGAAAAGUAAAUAAAAUAAAAUAAAAAUUUUAUUUCUAGUUGUUUGUUUCUAGUAUUUAAAUAAAUAGUUGAACUUUGUGUACUGAUCUUGUAUCUAGAAACCUUGUUAAAUUCAUCUUUUAAUUUUAAUGGUUUAUUUUUAUGAGUUUUCAGGGUACUCAAUUAUACUGUCUGCAAAUUAUGAUGGUUUUAUGUUUUCCUUUCAAGCUUUUAUGAUAUUUUUUUAUUUUUUACCUUAUUUCAUUGCCCAGAACCUCUAAUUGAAUGCUGAUUAGAAAUGAUGCAGACAUCUCUGCCUUAUUACUGAUUUCAGGAGAAAAGCUUUUAACAUUUCUCCAUUAAGUAUAAAGUUUGCUGUAGGUUUUUACAGAAACAUUUUAAAUUUUAAAUUAAAGAACUCCCUUUUUAUUUCUAGGUUUCUGCAAGUUUUUGGGAGCUGAAAUUUACCAAACAAUUACCCUGCAUCUAUUGAGAUGAUCAUAUAAAUUUUCCCCCUUUAUUCUGUUAAGGCAGAAAAUUGCAUUGAUUGAUUUUUCUAACCUAAAACAACCAAGUAUUCCUGGAAUAAACUCAAUUUGGUCAUGAUGAUUUAGUCACAUAUAUGUAAUACUGAAUUCUCUUUAUAAAUAUUUUGUAUAUGAUUUCUGCAACUAUACUCAUGAACGUGAGAAGCUUUUAACAUUCUUUUUUUGUUCGUUUGUUUCAUUCUUAUUAGAUUUUUAUGUCAAGGGAUAGCUCUGGAAUUUUGGCUCUUAAAGUCUUGGCUGCCUUGGUUGUUCUCUGAUAUCCUCAACUAGCUGCAUUUGUUUGUUUUCAAUGCUAUUCAGCUCUUGUAAUUGUGUUCAGAGAGGGUUUGUUUGACACAAGCUACCCAAUUAUCGCCAUAAGCAAAACUUCUGCAUUUUACAAAUGUGAUGAACCAACCAAAUUUCAAACAAAUUUCUAACUAUCAGUCAACCUUUUGACUUAUUUCAGUUCCUAAAAAAAUCUUGGGUUACUAAAAGUGUAGUUUUGACUUUCAGUGUCACUUAGUGCCCUUAUCUGUUAAAACAGAGUUGUAGGAAAAUAAAUAAAAUUUAAUUAUAGACAUAAUAUUUUGUCCCCACAAAGAAGGAAAAAAAAUAACUUAGUUGGAUAAUGUUCCAUCUUUGGUAUUUUUAAAAUAUUAAUCAAUUGUUAUAGUGAAAGAGCACCAUAGCAUCAUCAAUUUUGGUACUCAAAAAUUUCAUUGGGCAAAAGAGGAGGGACUAUUUAUAUCCUAUAACAACUAUCAGGAAGAGAAGACAUCUGGGCAGCAAGAUGAACGAAUUACAUUCAUUAGUUUUAAAUGGAUGUUUAAUAAAUAUCUUGGAUUAUAAGGAAUAUGAGAUGGAUUCUAUAGUAGACAUAUGGUAAAGACAAUCUGAAAUACAUAUAAACAUCUAAAAAGAGGAGGGUAAGAUGAGAAUAGAGAAGUUGAGAUAACUCUACCAAUUGUUGAACCCUUAGUAUGCACUAAGGUGCUUUGCUUGGGGCUUUGCCGGCAUUAUCUCACUUAACUACCUGCAAACAUAAUGAGGUAUCUUUAUUCCCGUUUUAUAAAAUAGGAAAUUAAGGCUCGGUUAGAAAAAACAACUUUUUCCAAAAUCGCAAAGAUAGUAAGUAGGAUUCAAAUCUAGCUCUGUUUGACUCUAGAACCCACACUCUUGCUACUAAAUCAGGCUGGGAUUAAACAGAAGCGAAACCAAGUUUUCUUAUCAGUAAAGGCUAGAGUCUCUAUUUUAAGCAUUGCGAAAGGGGGUUAUGGGAAGGAAGACUUUAGUUAUAUGUUUAUGGUUUGUUGGGUAAGGAUUUUAUGUGGGGUGUGUAUUUCCCUUGUCUCUGGAGUUCUUGUUAUAUUCUCAAGUUAAAACAUUUCCUGUUUACUACUGACUGGGCUAACAUCCAAUAACCACACACUAUAAACAAAUUCCAACAUUUUUCUACCCAAUGUAGAGUUAGGUCCGUGUCUAUGGCUGACCUGCUCAGUGGUCUCGGAAAUAGUGCCAAUUAAGGCCAGGUCAGGGGUUAGAUCUGCAUUUCCUAAAUGUGUUUCACAGAACGUACUAGUUUUACAUGAUAUUAACAGCUAUUAUCAGGAAAAAAAGGAAGCAUCUAGGGGUGGUCUGCAGCCAAAUAUGGUUUAAAAAACUCUGGGUUAAACCAGUUAAAUUUAUUUCAGACUUUUCUAUACCUUAAAAAGUAUAUUAAUAUAUACACAUGUAAUAUAUACAUGUAUGUUAAUAUACACACGACUCUUCAGAGGGAGGUAUAGUGUAAGUAUUUGCAAAAUGUGUCUGGCUCCAAAAUGAUUUGAGGAACAUCUUCCAGAACAGUUGUUACACAGACCGUAUUUGGGGGAGGGAGGGGUUUUGUAGCAACAAACUACAUCAUUGGUCAUGAAGGGAGAUAUAAAAGUCCUAUGUACCAACAAAAAAUGAACCACCUAAAAGUUGAGAAUUAUGUUUGAGGACUUAAGCCCAGGAGACAGCCUAUGAGAUAGCUCUGAGGGACUGUUCUAAAGACGUAAGGGAGGAGCCAGGAUAUACAGGAGUUUUUGGAAAAAAAAUAACAACAACAACAAAAACAGGUAGUGGGAACAUCAAAAUAUUAAAGAAAACCAGACAUCUCAAGCGAAUGAAUUUGUGCUUUCCUAUGCAUGGGAAAAUGCAGGAGUCUGGGCUCCCUGAAAUUAUUCCUUUGAUAUACACCUUAACUAUUUAGGGCCAGUAUUCUGUUUUUCUCUAUCCUGAUUUCCCUCAGGGUGCACCUUUGGGGGUGGCUGCUGAGGCUGAUGGCUUGAUGGCUGCAAACCUCCUUCAUUUACCGACAUUCUUGUCCACAGUAUAAACAAAGCGGCCCCUUGCUUUGGCCAUCAUAGUCAAGUGGCAUAGAUCCCAUCACAAAAGGCUGGCACAGAGCCUGUGUGACCUCCCGAAGAGAUUACAAUUAGGUCACAUCUCUGCAGCCAUGAUAUAACGGUUUAAAUGAAACAGAAACUUAUUUCUCAUGUAAAAGUCUCAAGGGGAGUACUUCAGGUUGGCAGGUUCUCUCAACUCUGGAAGCUGCCUGAGGGGUCCCAGGUUCCUUCCAUCUCACGGCUCUGCUCCUCUGGGGCGUUAGCCUCUUCCACGCACCUGCAGCUGGUUCCCUGGCUUGUGCACUUUCCACUUAAUAAAAGAGAGUCUUGGGCAAGCAGUUUUCUUUCUAUCAGCUUAGGCUGAAAUGACAUACAUCAGAUUCACACAGCCAUGAAUCACACAGCCAUGCCUAGCUGCAAAGCUGGCUGGGAAAUCCAGUCUCUAACUAGGCAGUUAUGUGCCCAAUAAGAAGGAAAGAAGAAAUUUCAGAAGAACAGCGAAGACUCUGCCGCGCUACAGUUGAGAUGAACACUAGCUGGUACUCACUACCUGGGCACGACUCCAUUUACUAAUGAACAGCCAGUUCAGACUGACCAAAUCCUUCCGAGAAAAAUAUUGAGUUCCUGUCAGUGUGAUACUCAAGUACUCCAAUUUAUGAAGCAAGGAAUUUCUCAGAAGAGCUGAUUAUCUGUCAGGGCUGGAGGAUCUGUGCAGCAAGACCGAGGGAGCUUUGAGGGUCAGUAAACAAUUCAUAGCCAAUUUCCUUGCAGGCUCAUUUCUUAUUGUCCUUUAGUUUCCUUAGCUAAUUUUUAAAAAAUGGCUCAAAGAGGGGAGGAAAACUGGCAGAUCUUCUAGACCAUCUAGAUGUUACACAACUUUGGCACGUACAACACUACGGGGACAAGUCCUGGGAUGUGGCAAAAUGAUGAUGAUGAUGAUAAUGCCUCUCAGAUAAAAAAUCCAUUAUAUGGUAAAUACUUAAAUUUUUCUGUUUAUUAUGGUGUUUUGACAUCUUUAGAAAACCUUUCUGGCCGGGAGAGACUGCCCUCCCUGGGCUAGCCGAUUUGUAGAGAGAUAAAAAAGGACCCAGUCAGGAGCAUGCCUGAGACACGCAAACGAACCAGUCCAGAGCCUUACUUCCUCUCCUGGGCCCAUACACCCCAGGAGGCAAUACUCCUCUAACCCAGUCAUCCCAGGGCCAGGUGCCAGGCAACUAGGGACUAUCCCUAGAGCCAAAGCCUGCAGAUUUUCCUCAAAGUACUCAAUCCUGAAGCAUUGAUACUGCUCAGCCUGCCUUUCCCAAGGAAACUCCAAUAAAGGCACUGGGCUAAACUUGCCCUCCCACCUGUCUUCUGACCACCCUGGUGACUUUCCCAUGUGGCCCUGUGUGGUGUGCUGUGCCCUCAUGGAUUGUGAGUAUAAAAAACUUCAUUUUUUCCUGAACUUCUCCUCUGUCUCCUGUGGCCACACCUAACUGACCAUUUUAUAAAAGAAUACAGAACACCAGUUGAGAGAGGUUUAUAUAGCCAACCGGGGAAAGUGGGUCUGCUGGUCUGCCUGCCUUGUGUUUCACUUCAUCCUGCCCUAAGGAUGCUGCCACAUGUCCUGGGUAUUCUAGGUUCUGCUCUUUAGAGCUACUCCCAUGCAAUGGCAACACACCCCUUGGCAAAGCCAAGGUCACUGCCAAGCCUGCUGAGUGGGUAGAGUCCAUACAGAAUGAUUCAGAGGAUGAAAUCCCCCAAAUUACUUCUCUAACUACCUAGAUCAGAAAUUUCACCAUCUCAAGUCAAGGAGCCUUAUUCCUCCAGCUCCAUUUUUCUUUCUCAGGAUGUCUUUGGCUAUUCUGGGUCUUUUGUGCUUCCAAACAAACUUUAAAAUAUUUUGUUCACGUUCUCUGAAAAAUGUCCUUGGUAAUCUGAUAGAGAUUGCAUUGAAUCUGUAGAUCGACUUGGGUAGUAUAGUCAUUUUGAUAAUAUUGAUUCUUCCAAUCCAAGAGCAUGGUAUGUCUUUCCAUCUGUUUGCGCCAUCUUUGAUUUCUUUCAUCAGCGUCUUAUAGUUUUCACAGUACAGGUCUUUUGUCUCUCUAGGUAGGUUUAUUCCUAAGUAUUUUUUUUCCUUUUUGAUGUGAUGGUAAGUGGGGUUGUUUCCCUAAUUUCUCUUUCUGAUCUUUCGUUGUUAGUAUAUAGAAAUGCAGUUGAUUUCUGUGUAUUGAUUUUGUAUCCUGCGACUUUGCCAAAUUCAUUGAUGAGCUCUAACAGUUUUCUGGUAGCGUCUUUAGAAUUUUCUACGUAUAGUACCAUGUCAUCCGCAAAUAGUGAUAAUUUUACUUAUUUCUUUCCAAUUUGGAUUCCUUUUAUUCCUUUUCUUCUCUGAUUGCCAUGGCUAGGACUUCUAAAACUAUGUUGAAUAGUAGUGGUAAGAGUGGAUAUCCUUGUCUUGUUCCUGAUCUCAGCGGGAAUUCUUUCAGCUUUUCACCAUUGAGAAUGAUGUUAGCUCUGGGUUUGUCAUACAUGGCCUUUACUAUGUUGAGGUAGGUUCCCUCUAUGCCCACUUUCUGAAGGGUGUUUAUCAGAAAUGGGUGUUGGAUUUUGUCAAAGGCGUUUUCUGCAUCUAUUGAGGGGAUCAUAUGGUUUUCAUCCCUCAGUUUGUUAAUGUGGUGUAUCACACCGAUUGAUUUGCAGAUAUUGAAGAAUCCUUGCAUCUCUGGGAUAAAUCCCACCUGAUCAUAAUGUACAAUCCUUUUACUAUAUUGUUGGAUUCAUUUGCUAGUGUUUUGUUAAGGAUUUUUGCAUCUAUGUUUAUCAGUGAAAUUGGCAUGUAAUUUUCUUUUUUUGUGUGUGGUAUCUUUGUCUGCAUUUUGUAUUAGGGUGACGGUGCCUCAUAGAAUGCGUUUGGGAGUAUUCUUUCCUGAGCAAUUUUUUGGAAUAGUUCCAGAAGGAUAGGUGUUAGCUCUUCUCUAAAUGUUUGAUAGAAUUCUCCUGUGAAGCCAUCUGGUCCUGGACUUUUGUUUGUUGGAAGUUUUUAAAUCAC
rnacentral:lncRNA from 1 species